rnacentral:rRNA from 1 species
AGCGAACGUUUGCGGCGGGCUUAACACAUGCAAGUCGAACGAGAAUCCCUUCGGGGAGGAAAGUGGCGCACGGGUGCGUAACACGUGGAUAACCAACCCAUUGGUUUGGGACAACACCGGGAAACUGGUGCUAAUACCAGAUGUGUCGCAGCUGUCUUCAGGCGGUUGCGAGAAAGGCCCGCAAGGGUCGCCAACGGACGGGUCCGCGUCCCAUCAGCUAGUUGGUGAGGUAAUGGCUCACCAAGGCAAAGACGGGUAGCUGGUCUGAGAGGAUGAUCAGCCACACUGGAACUGAGACACGGUCCAGACUCCUACGGGAGGCAGCAGUGGGGAAUAUUGCGCAAUGGGCGAAAGCCUGACGCAGCCACGCCGCGUGAGCGAUGAAGGUCUUCGGAUCGUAAAGCUCUGUGGGGGGAGAAGAAGAAAGCCGGUGAAGAGCCGGCCUGACGGUAUCCCCUUAGCAAGCACCGGCUAACUCCGUGCCAGCAGCCGCGGU